AAGGUGACUGCCGGUGACAAACCGGAGGAAGGUGGGGAUGACGUCAAAUCAUCAUGCCCCUUAUGACCUGGGCUACACACGUGCUACAAUGGACAGAACAAAGGGCAGCGAAACCGCGAGGUUAAGCCAAUCCCACAAAUCUGUUCUCAGUUCGGAUCGCAGUCUGCAACUCGACUGCGUGAAGCUGGAAUCGCUAGUAAUCGCGGAUCAGCAUGCCGCGG
rnacentral:rRNA from 1 species